AACCUCGUGGUGUAAUCAGUAGCACACUCGGCUCACUACCGAGAGAUUUCGGGUUCGAUUCCUGAGCGAGGAGGAAACA